rnacentral:misc_RNA from 1 species
CUAGAGCCUGCAAAGGCUCCUAAACCAUUGUGAACCUAUCCUACGUUGCUUCGGCGGCGAGGCUCCCUCACGGGGCCUCGCAGCCCCCGCCUCUCAGGAGGUAAGGGCAGCCGCCGGAGCGUCCGAAACUAUGCUAUACUAGUGGCCUCUCUGAGUAGCUUAUAAAAAUAAGUCUA